AGAUUGAACGCUGGCGGCAGGCCUAACACAUGCAAGUCGAGCGGUAGAGAGGUGCUUGCACCUCUUGAGAGCGGCGGACGGGUGAGUAAUGCCUAGGAAUCUGCCUAGUGGUGGGGGAUAACGUUCGGAAACGGACGCUAAUACCGCAUACGUCCUACGGGAGAAAGCGGGGGACCUUCGGGCCUCGCGCCAUUAGAUGAGCCUAGGUCGGAUUAGCUAGUUGGUGAGGUAAUGGCUCACCAAGGCGACGAUCCGUAACUGGUCUGAGAGGAUGAUCAGUCACACUGGAACUGAGACGACGGUCCAGACUCCCUAGGGAGCAGUCAGGUGGGAAUAGUGGACAAGUGGGACGAAAGCCUGAAUCC
rnacentral:rRNA from 1 species